rnacentral:rRNA from 1 species
CAAAACGUCCAUACCACGUUGAAUACACCGGUUCUCGUCCGAUCACCGAAGUUAAGCAACGUCGGGCGCGGUCAGUACUUGAAUGGGUGACCUGGGAACACCGCGUACCGUUGGCU